UGUAGGAUAAGUGGGAGCUU
rnacentral:snRNA from 1 species